AAGUCGAGCGGUAGAGAGAAGCUUGCUUCUCUUGAGAGCGGCGGACGGGUGAGUAAUGCCUAGGAAUCUGCCUGGUAGUGGGGGAUAACGUUCGGAAACGGACGCUAAUACCGCAUACGUCCUACGGGAGAAAGCAGGGGACCUUCGGGCCUUGCGCUAUCAGAUGAGCCUAGGUCGGAUUAGCUAGUUGGUGGGGUAAUGGCUCACCAAGGCGACGAUCCGUAACUGGUCUGAGAGGAUGAUCAGUCACACUGGAACUGAGACACGGUCCAGACUCCUACGGGAGGCAGCAGUGGGGAAUAUUGGACAAUGGGCGAAAGCCUGAUCCAGCCAUGCCGCGUGUGUGAAGAAGGUCUUCGGAUUGUAAAGCACUUUAAGUUGGGAGGAAGGGUUGUAGAUUAAUACUCUGCAAUUUUGACGUUACCGACAGAAUAAGCACCGGCUAACUCUGUGCCAGCAGCCGCGGUAAUACAGAGGGUGCAAGCGUUAAUCGGAAUUACUGGGCGUAAAGCGCGCGUAGGUGGUUUGUUAAGUUGGAUGUGAAAUCCCCGGGCUCAACCUGGGAACUGCAUUCAAAACUGACUGACUAGAGUAUGGUAGAGGGUGGUGGAAUUUCCUGUGUAGCGGUGAAAUGCGUAGAUAUAGGAAGGAACACCAGUGGCGAAGGCGACCACCUGGACUAAUACUGACACUGAGGUGCGAAAGCGUGGGGAGCAAACAGGAUUAGAUACCCUGGUAGUCCACGCCGUAAACGAUGUCAACUAGCCGUUGGAAGCCUUGAGCUUUUAGUGGCGCAGCUAACGCAUUAAGUUGACCGCCUGGGGAGUACGGCCGCAAGGUUAAAACUCAAAUGAAUUGACGGGGGCCCGCACAAGCGGUGGAGCAUGUGGUUU
rnacentral:rRNA from 1 species